AGGUAACUUUUCUUCACGGGUACAGUUUAUUACAAAGUGCCUGUGAAUUGUUUGUCUUCUUAAUUAAAGGUUUGGUUGUAUUUCCAAGGGGUUGUUAAUAAUGAUAAUGAUGGUAGAGUCACUUAUCAAAUGUGUGAUCCUGUUUGAGUUAUUCGUUAUUCAGAGCCUAGUGUUUCUCAUUUGUACAGAAAGGUUUAUAGUGGCACCCACCACAUAUGGUUAUUGUGAUAAUUAAAAGAGAGCAUGCAGGUAAGGUUGUGCAUGUGUGCUCACAUAAAAAACACUCAAUAAAUGUUAGCUAUUAUUACUGUUGUCAGCUACUCCAUGGGAGUUAUUUUGUAAAACACUGUACUUCCAUUGCUGUUGCCUGAAACCUCAGUAAAUCAUUCUUUCCCACCCCCACCCCGCACACCCUGGAUUACUAUAUAAUUUGUGGAUAUUUCUACCCUAAGGAACUUCCCCCAAAGCACAAUGACUUAUAGCUGAAAAGAAAGAUCCUUCUUCAUAUGGUUUUUAGAACACUCAGUUCAAACAUAAAAUUCAGCAAAUGCAAGAUGUACUGUUUAUUCUUUAUUUUCCAAGGAAGCAAGGUUCAUUAAUUGGAUCAAUUUCCUACAGAGCAAACAUCGAUCUUAAAUAUCCUCAUUUAACAUUCUCUCAAAUUUUGGCACCCCUUCCCAUUCCACUGAGUUGUGUGAAGACCCAAUCAUGACAUAUAGGAAAAGGUGCUUAUUUUUUUUAACUCCAUGUUGUUGAGGGGAUUGGUCAUUGAUAUUCUCUGGAGAUCUACAUUUGAUACUUCCUCCAAAGCUCCAUAUAAAAGCAUCUCCGAAAUAUUUCCUCCUGUCUUCAAAAUGCAGCUGGGUAUAAGCUUUCUUUCCUCUUACUAUAUUUCAGAUGGUCCGCUUUGAUACCUGAGUAACAUACUUCAGUGUAGAGUAGGAAGGUAUACUUCGUUACUUCAACUAUACUCCCAAGAAGGAAAGGUCUGUGCCCGAUUAGUCUCUUUGUCGCCCACAGGGCAAGACCAUGUAUCUUCCUUGCAGUAAUGCCUCGACAGAUAUUUGAUUAAUGAGAAAACAAGCUUGUGAAAACCCAUACACAAUACCAAAUUCUGUGGAUUAUGUAGAAAUAGUAAAGGCAAAUAAAGAUACAGCAGUUUCAAUGUUCAAAUUAAUAGCAAAAUAUUUUGCAAUUAGAAACUAAUUAGAAAUCCACUUUCAUUGUAUCCAUCUCAUUACUCAGUGAGUCAGCGCAUAUUGAGCACCUUCCAGGAGCCAAACAUUAUGCUCAGUGCUAGUAUUUCAACUCAAGAAAAUAAAUAUUUCCACUCUACGAAGCCUGCAGUCCUGAAGAAAUAAGAAAGAGUUAUAAAUCUAUAACUUGUUUUUGCAGAUUACACAUUAGAUCAUUCUUUAUAAAAAUAGGUCACUGAAGAGUUCUUGAGUUCCAUUUGUCAGUUAUUAAUUAUAGCACUGUGGUCACUGUUCAUUAGAUUGAAUUUGGCUAUUGAUAGUAGGUCAGGCAAAUUGUUUUCUAGUUAAAAUAAUUACUUAGCUACUGAGUGAAAUUUGCUUUGAAUUACUUUUCAUAAACACAGGUAAUUGGGCAUGUCCUGCUCAGUUAUAAAUACACAUACCAAAGUACAUUGAUCUACUUUCAUUGGUAAUGAGUUUUGAAAACCAUAGCUUUGGUGCUUAAACUUACUUUUCUUCGCUUAUUGAAAAGUCCAGAGGGCAUAAGCAAACUUCAGAGAAUAUUUCCACAUAACAAGAAAAAAAUUAACUAAUGAAAUUUCUGGACAUAUAUCUUAAUUUAAAAAAUCAUAAGCAAUUCUGUACUGACAUGGAUUCAACCAAUAUGAUCGAAAAUGCAUUUCUCAGUUAUUGACCUGUAUCUGGUUUACAAUGAAAAAAAGGAAAGUUUUCUUUAAUAAUUCAAACUAAUUUAUUGCUCUUAAGUCCAGAAUAACAGAAAGUAGCUUGAAAGUCACAUUUUAUAUUUCUAAAUAUAUAUGCCUGAAUAUUAAUGAUGUUUUGAAAUAUUUCCACCUAAUGGAUCAUUUGAAUAAAGUGAUUUAAAAUAGUCAUUAUUUCAUGUACUUCUUUGUGAUUAGAACAUUGAAAAAAAAUCUAUUCUCAGCAAGAUCCAACAAAUAAAACAAAUGAUUCUAGUCACCAUGUUGCACAAUGGAUUCCUCAAACUUCUUUAUUGUGUCUAAUUGAAAAGUUUCCAUUAAGCAACAUAUUGAUAACCUUACCCUUUCUCAUCUCC
rnacentral:lncRNA from 1 species